CCUACGGGAGGCAGCAGUGGGGAAUAUUGGACAAUGGGGGAAAGCCUGAUCCAGCAAUGCCGCGUGAGUGAUGAAGGCCUUAGGGUUGUAAAGCUCUUUUACCCGGGAUGAUAAUGACAGUACCGGGAGAAUAAGCUCCGGCUAACUCCGUGCCAGCUGC
rnacentral:rRNA from 1 species